rnacentral:rRNA from 1 species
UACGGAGGGUGCAAACGUCGCUCGGAAUCAUUGGGCGUAAAGCGCACGUAGGCGGCCUAGCAAGUCGGGUGUGGAAUCCCUCGGCUUAACCGAGGAAGUGCAUUCGAAACUACUAGGCUUGAAUACUCAAGAGGGUCUCGGAAUUCCCGGUGUAGAGGUGAAAUUCGUAGAUAUCGGGAGGAACACCAGUGGCGAAGGCGGAGACCUGGGGAGAUAUUGACGCUGAGGUGCGAAAGCGUGGGGAGCAAACAGG